AUACGGAGGGAGCAAGCGUUAUUCGGAAUCACUGGGCGUAAAGCGUACGUAGGCGGAUCGUUAAGUUAGAGGUGAAAUCCCAGGGCUCAACCCUGGAACUGCCUUUAAUACUGGCGAUCUAGAGAUCGAGAGAGGUGAGUGGAAUUUCCAGUGUAGAGGUGAAAUUCGUAGAUAUUGGAAAGAACACCAGUGGCGAAGGCGGCUCACUGGCUCGAUACUGACGCUGAGGAACGAAAGCGUGGGGAGCAAACAGGAUUAGAUACCCUAGUAGUCC
rnacentral:rRNA from 1 species